UCCACGUGGAAAGUUCCUAUUAAUACACACACGCGCUCUGGCUUGCUCCACACACCGGAAGCGAUACCGACUCCCUGGAGCUUCUAUUUAUACUCAUUUAUCAGCGAAUUUUUCAAACUGAAUUAUGCGAUUGCCAGCGUCACUUCGCCGACGUCACCGAACGCGAUAAUUACAUAAAAGCGUGUCUUCUGCAAAAUGCUACAAAUUCUUAGCAAACAAUAGCGUCAACGUUAUGCAAAAGGCCUUAAUGUCACCAAAUACCGACAGGAACACCCGAGAAAAUAAAUAAAUCAUGUUUAACUCACUAAAACAGCGAGAAAAUUGACCACAUUUAAGAUUUUUUGCUAAAGGAUCUGUUGUUCUACCCGCUAAGUGAGUUUAUUUUGCACCGCCCACGCCCCAGCAAAAAUUAUUGUGGAGGUAGAUUUGUAAAAACAAACCACUGAUGGCGUCAAUCUGUAUCAAUGGCUUAAAAUACAAUUUACGUCGCAUUUAAUUAAUUCCACCUGAUCGAUCUUUUCAAACGUUACAAACUUUUGGAUAUCAUGGAAACUGGAGCUGGAUCCUUGCCGUAAGUUGCUAAUUAAAUGGAGCGCGUGGGCAGGAGCAAAAUGUAUUGUUAGGGUGCGGAUAAGGGAAACCAAAAAUGAGAUUUUUACGCAAUGUCUUGAGUUACAACUCGAUCGAAUGACAAGUUAGAUAAGGUCUGACGUUGAUUUUUUGCAUUUUUGAAUUGUUUCAUCUUUAUAUUUAACGCCAAACAAAGCCUUCAAAUUUUUGCAUUGUGUUAUGUUAAUCUCAAGAGCGAAGCUCAUAAAUAGUAAACACUAAAUUUAAUAACACCUUGUUUAUGUGUGAAACAGCUCCAUAUUGACUCAUCAAAUCAAUCAUCGUAAUUAUCAAUGAAUCAUUUAAGAGGCACCUGAGAAGAUUCAAAUUUACACUUGGUUUUUGGACAAUUCCGAGUUUGCGAAAACUGUUUAUUUGAGUAAAAUGUGUGGGUUGGAAGAAUAACUAAACGCAAAAGUUGCGUUCAGCGAACCUCAAGGGAUUCGAAAAAGUAAUAUUUUAAUUAACAUCGGAGUUGUUUUCAGGAGAAUUUUACAAAUUUGUUUUAUCGCAUCCUUCCUACGGUAUGGGCGCCCACGCUUAGUGAAGCUUUAACAAUAUUAUUGCCAAGUCGUCUCUCCACCCAACUAUUUACAAAUAGAACAAAAUUGGACAAAGUACGAGGACUUGAAACGUGUUUAACAAAGACGUUUUAAUAAUAUCAUCUUUUCAGGAGAUAUUGAUUUUGUCAAGAAAAAAACAUAGGUUGUAUUUUUAAAUUACAGAAUAAAGUAACAAAUAAAUGCAAAUUAGAUUUAAGUAAUUUGUUAGGUAAUCAAGGUGUAAUUGAUUUUUUCUAGUUAAUAUCCAAAAAGUCUGAAAAAUACCAUUUAUAACUGGUAGAAAUAGUGUUAGUAUUCAGCCACUGAUGUAUCAAAAAAUAAAAAACCAAAAUUGAUAUCGCAACGCAUUUCGAAUUUAUGUUAUUAUUAGUUUUUUUACAUUCUAAAAAAUGAGACUAUGAUUUAUUUUUAAUUUAUACUUUUAACUGUCCACUCACUUGUAGGUAAACGAAAAAUAAAUCAGGAAUUCCUGAGCAAUGUAUCAGUAGUAUAAGCGAACAAUUAGUGCUAAUGAGGUCAUUAUCUAAUGACCGCUGCAACUUUCUCUUAAUGACCGCUACACUUUGGCCGCUACAAUUUUGCUAUAUGUCAUACAAUAUAUAAGACCAAAGAAAAUUUAGGAAAAUAUUCAGUGUUGUUCUCGUGUUUGUUCUUGAAGAAGACGUCUUGGUGUAUUGUGAAAUUAAGAUGCCUGGAAAACGUGUAUCUUCUAUGCCAUUGAAAAAAUCAUCUCCGAAGCGUUUUAAAAGCCCCAGGUGAUGGUGGAUGUGUAGAAGAAGAGGAAAUUAGUGCUUCGCAAGUUCCAUCGGUUCCGAAGUCGUCUUUGUCAGCAUUUCCAGCUGCUUCACCACCACCACCACCACCAUCGCAAUCCAUAGAAUUAGCGAGAGUAUCUGAAAUAGGUCUUAGCCAAGCUGCAUCCCCCAAGUCGCCUCAGCCUAUCCACGCUGAAGAAGACAUCAUAACACCAGCUGAAUGGUCGGAUCCUGUGUUGGAGCGAUCGUUGAUGGAAAUGGCCGACAACAUCGAGAAAAAUGAAGCUGAGAGAAGUGAGAAAGAUGAAGCUGAGAGAACGGCUCGGAUGGUGAUCAAUGAGAAGUUUCGUUUAAUUCAUGAAGUGGUGUAUCCUAUAACUAAGUCUGGUAGCAAACUUUUAUCGAUUGGAGUAAAACCACUCCAUGAUUUUGUGCCGUUGUUGAAGAUACAUAAUCCAGAAUUAACAUCGGCGAUAAGUUUUUCUAUUGAAACCUUUGAAGAGUUUUUAAAAGAAAUGAGCAAGAUCUUUGAAUCAAGAGAGGAGGACGAAGAAGUAGAAGAAAUUAGUGUUCCAGAAGGUCAGAUGUUGUGUAUGCUAAGUGGCUACGUCGUGGUGGUUUGUAGAUAUAAUACUCUUCAAUUUAUACCUAGUCAACCCAGCGUGUACAAGGGCAUUUAUUUAUCAUUGAACACAAUUAAAACUGUCGUAAAUAUGGGCGAGCAUUUAUUGAAUCUGCUUCAUGCAAGAAGAAUUCAAUAUAAAUUCUAUCCAUGUUACGAUAGUUUUAUAAAUAAUGUUGCGCUUGAUGUUAUGGAGAAUGGAUGUAAAAAUUUAUCUCAAAAAUUGUAUGAUAUUAUUAAGAAUCGGUAUGAACAAAAUGCAACCUUGUAUGAGAUAGUUUUGAAACUGCCUGUGAAUGUAAAAACUGCUGUCGAAAAUAGAAUACAAUAUUAUAGGGAAAAUAAUGAUUAUAACUGUCUGUGAUAAUAAAUAAUUAAAUAAAAUGUA